CUUUGGUAUUGAGAAACGACGAUAGUCCGUUUGAAAAGGGGGAUGGCUGACCCGUGUCAAAGCAUUAUCUCCUGCACAUAAAAGACAACCUUUUAGAUUUCGAAAUGGAGCAGGUAAAUGCUCCAAAAGGCAGCAAUCGCACCCACACAGUUAGAAGGAUUGAUUUAAAUUGUAAUAACUUGUUUCCCAAUCCACUAUUAUAGUGACUUCAUUAACAC
rnacentral:lncRNA from 1 species